rnacentral:misc_RNA from 1 species
UUGAAAACAGUAAGACAGGAAAUACAUUAUGGACAAAGUGGAUAACUUGGAUGAAGAAUGGAAUGAAAAGAAUGAGGUACCAGAAGAAGAACCUCUGCAACAAAUUGAAGUUUUGGUGCCUGAUGUUCCAAAUGAAGUAGCACACACAGAUACUCUCAAUGAAGGAGAAUACACAGAUGUUCCUAAUGAAGUGGAGUACACAAAAGAAGGUAUUGAGCAUGCAUCAAGGGACCCACAAGAUGUGAAAGAAAAGGCAUUUCUUGAUGUUGGACAGUGGGGCCCUGAGUCUGAUGAUGAAACUUUAUCUCUGUCUUCCGGUGCUAGCCACAUAAGUAUUGAAGAGGAUAAUGAAAAGGACAAAAGUCCAGAAUUCCAGCUGAAUCUUCACAAUUAUCUUGAACUACAACGCUAUCUCCGCCUUCUAGACAAUAACUUAGAGAGAUCUCAGAUCAACCUCGAUCAGUUAUGGGAGGAGUUUAAGCAAUGCCAGGAAAGAAUUUUCAUUUUAAAUGAGGAAGAAGAAGAGGCCCGCCUUGAGUUAGAAAAGGCUGAGGCUAGCAACGAAAAUAUUCCAUUGAUAAACAGACUUCAGAAGAAGUAUAAGCGUAUCUGUGAAGAAAUAGAUCUGGAGAAUAAUCUCAAAAUCAAAAUCAGAGAAAUGCUUGAUGAUUCUAGAAAGUCUGUGGUUUCAGCAGAAUUGAGGAGGAACGAGUUUGUACAUGACAAGCAGUUUUUACUUGAAGAUAUAGAUAUACUGCCAAACCAGGCUGAGAAAACACAGAUUAAUCUUUACAUUGAAGAGCAAAAGGCACAAAGAGCAAAGAAAGCCAAAGAGAAAAAACUACAUGAUGACAUAGAAGAAAUAAAGCAAGAGCAAAUGAAAAUCAAAGAAACUAUAGGACAUUCAAAGGAGGCAUACAAAAAGGCAAACAAAUUUUUGAAGGAAACUUUAUCAAGGAUUCAAGAAAGUGAUGAGAAAAACAACGAAGAAUAUAAAGCUUAUAUGAAGCAAAGAAUGGAGACUGUUCUGAAGUUGAAAGAAUCUAUUGAUGCUAGUAAAACACUUCGACACUCCAAGAAGCAGCAAGCAGCUUCAGAGAGAGACACCUAUGAAGAACAACAGACUGAUUCAGAAAGAAUUUGUUCAAAGAUUACAGAAAUUAUAAAGGGGAAAAAAGAAAUGGCAGAAAAACAAGAAAGAGAACUGAAGAGGAGGCAACAGGAAAAUUCUUGCAAAAUCAUUGAAAAGAUUUUAAUAGAAGAAAAGCUAAGAAAGAAAUCAAUGCAGAAACCUAAACCACCAACUACUUGUCUCUAUAUGAAGCAAAGGAAAAAUGUUAUUCCACUGUUACAGAAAGUCAAUUUUCUAGAUGCCAUCAAUGAUGUGGAAAAACCAUCUCCACAUCUUCCAAAGAUAGACAUUAAAACAUCUUCAAUCUAUGAAGAUGAAACCAAUUUAGCUGUGCCAGAGUUUGAUGGGCUUUGGAAAGAACAUGAUUUUCUCAAGAAAACUAAUGCAUUACCUGAGGAGCAAAUUGGUUUUGAAAAUAGAUCAACAAAAGAAAACAUAAAGAAGACUCUCUCAAAGGCAGACAUUCCAAGUGACAAAUCUCCAGAAACAGUCACUACUGCUUUUCAUGGAAAACCAGAUGUUAUUCAUUUCAAGGAUAUUGAAGUUGGCAAAAGCUAUAGAAAAAGGACAGUGAUCACCAAUGUGUCCAGUAACGUAAAUUAUAUAAGAUACAGUCAUGUGACAUCAAAAAUGAAAGACUUUGUUGAUAUUGAAUUUCACCCACCAGGCCUUUUGUCUCCUGGGAUGGCUUGUGAACUAUUUGUCACCUUUAAACCUUUGCUAAACCAAAACAUAACAGGAGAAGUGAACCUUGAAACAAAGACUGGAACAUUUCAGAUAUUCUUAAAAACUUCCAUAAAGACAUGUGAGCUGAAGAUUAACACAUCAACUGUGGACUUUGGCCAAACUGUUAUUGAAGAGAUCCUUAAGAAAAGCAUCCACUUAGAGAAUGAUGGAGCUUUGGGUACAAAUUAUACCUUCAUUUCUGAGAAAAUGUUUUUAAAGACUAAGAAAGAUGAACACUUUUCAAAAGAAUCUUAUGCAAGAUCCUCUGAUGAUCAGCAAAUUUCUAGUAACAUAGAGCAGGAAGAAUCCUUAGACGACAUGGAUGAAGAGGAUAUUGACAUUUCAGUUGGGAAAGAAAGUUCUGGUUAUAUUGGUCCUUAUUCUAGUGUAAAGUUAGAAAUUGUGUGGCACCCAAAACUACCUGGUCCUCUGAGAACUAAUUACAUCUUCAGCUUCUCUGAUUCAAGUUUAGAAACGAUCCCUGUGAAGCUCAUUGGAGUUGCAAGUGAUAUUCUUGUUCAAAUUUUACAAACUUCAAUGGAUAUGAAAAUCUGUCUUUAUGACAAGCUGUAUCAGGAUACUAUAAUACUAGAAAACAGGCAACCUUCAGCUUUCAAAAUCAAGUUUGAUGUUGAUCGAAGAAUACGUAACCAUCUUGAAAUUCUCCCGAAAAUGGGUAUCAUUCAAGCAAAAUCUCAGUUCCUAGCACAGUUGAAGUUUCUUCCAAGAAAAUCCCUUGCAAAAGAUGCUCCACAAUUCUAUGAUGUUGAUACCAGUGUAUUUGAAAUGAACAUUAAAAUCUGGAUUGCAAGUUAUCGCAAGCCAAUCAUUUUCACAGUACAUGCUGUUGUGACUUCAUCUGACCUCCAGUUUAAUGAAAGUUCUAUUGACUUUGGUAAUUGUACAAUAUUUGAAUCUGCCUGUCGUUAUGUUGAGCUGUACAAUAAAUCCCUCCUGCCUCAACAGUUUGCCUUCCUGAACAUACCUUCCUGUGUUGAUGUACAACCAAAUGAUGGCUUUGGUACUAUACUACCUUUAGAAAGUCUGACGCUGGAAGUUGUGUUCCAACCAAGCACUGCUAAGGAAUAUGAGUUUGAUAUUGUGUGUAAGACAUUAACAAACAGUGAGUUCCCACUGAAAUGUAAGGGUUUGGGUAUUGCUCCACCCCUAAAACUGUCACAUCAGGUAAUCAAUUUUAAGGGAACAGCUCUGUAUGAUAAAUCAGAAGCAACUGUCUACCUCUCCAAAUAUCCAGACAACCAAGAGACGAAAAAUGACAGCAGCCAAAAAGGCAAGCAUCACUCAAAUACAGAAAUUGUUUCAUUUGAGUUUGUAAUUCCUGAAGAUGUACCUAUUGCCAUUUUCCCUUGUGUUGGCAGUGUCUAUGGCAAUGAGUUGCGAGUACAAGUCCAGUUUUCUCCAGUUCUUAACGAGAAAGAAAUUAAAGAAGAAGCUAUUGCACUGGUCACCGCUAUGCUUCAGAAAGAACUCCAAAUGAAAUACCAAAUGCAUCUGAAGAAGGCCGAGGCAGAUAAAGAGCACACUUUGAAAAGUAGCAGAAGCAAAACUUCAAAAAAAAUGAAAUCUAUCGACUGUAUAUCAUCCCCUUCAGGACUAAAGCCAAGGUCAACUCUGCAGCCUUGUAUGGAGUCCAUUAAAAAUGAUUCAAAGGAAUUCUCAUCAGCUGUUAUUUCUUUGGUCCGAAAUUUCAAACCAUUUGAAAAGAUGUACAGAAUCCCUUGCUAUGUUGCUCGUGGUAUUUGCAGCCCAAUGAAUCCACUUGCAUAUGAUGUAUCAGAGACACUCUACCUAGAGGUGUACUGUACAACGAUCGGUCCAUCCAUCAUUGUAUUGUCAGAUAAUGGGAAAAGUGAAAUGAACUUUGGGAACAUCUGUGUUGGACAUUCCAGAAUGAAAUCUCUGACCAUUCAGAACAUAUCAGAUGACACCAUCAAACUCUCCACAUCAGUUUUCAACACAAAUGGACCCUUUCUAAUCAAAAAUUCCUUCCCAACUCUACAACCAAAUGAUAUACAUUCAUUAGUUGUUUCCUUUUCUCCUUCCAUUGGUGAAGAGUUUUAUGAAGUCCUCCAAAUCAAGUCAGCAGUAUCAUGUGUGUAUGUCAAGGUAACUGGAGUUGGAAUUGUUCCAAAUCUGAAGUUCUCGUUUGAGGGCAGCAUCUUUGAUAUGGGUUGCAUUACUCCUGGAGAAUUCUACAACAAAACAUUUACGAUCCAGAAUCUCUCACCAAUUAGUAUUGACUUCACCAUUGAACUGGCAUACAGAAUUAUAAUGGCUUGAAUGUGUUUGACUUGGUCCCUAGUUCUGGACAGAUUGCAGCUGGUAGCACCAAAGAGAUCACUAUAACAUUUGCACCUGACCACACAAGUAAAUCCUUCUCGGAUAUUGUGAAAAUAAACACUUUUGAAAAGAACUGUGUCCAUUCUUUCCAAGUUGUUGGUCAAGGAAAGGGGACUUCAA